rnacentral:tRNA from 1 species
CCCCCUGUAGCUCAAUGGCGGAGCAUCUGGCUGUAGCCCGGAAGGCUGUCGGUUCAAAUCCGGCCGGGGGGA